AAGAGACUUAGUCCUAACCUUACUGUUGGUUUUUGCUAGACAUAUACAUGCAAGUAUCCGCACUCCAGUGAAAAUGCCCCUUAAUCUUAUUCUUUCCGCAAGCAAAAGGAGCAGGUAUCAGGCACACCCACCAGUAGCCCAAAACACCUUGCUAAGCCACACCUCCACAGGUAUUCAGCAGUAAUUAACCUUAAGCAAUAAGUGCAAACUUGACUUAGCCAUAGCAACCACAGGGUUGGUAAAUCUUGUGCCAGCCACCGCGGUCAUACAAGAAACCCAAAUCAAUAGCCAUCCGGCGUAAAGAGUGGACACAUGUUAUCUACACCAACUAAGAUCGAAACGUAACCAAGCUGUCAUAAGCCUAAGACCCAUCUAAGCCCCAUCCAAAACUAUCUUAGUUAGCAUGAUCAAGUUCAACCCACGAAAGCCAGGGUACAAACUGGGAUUAGAUACCCCACUAUGCCUGGCCAUAAAUCCAGAUACCCCCCCCCCNAUUCGUAUCCGCCCGAGAACUACGAGCACAAACGCUUAAAACUCUAAGGACUUGGCGGUGCCCCAAACCCACCUAGAGGAGCCUGUUCUAUAAUCGAUAAUCCACGAUUCACCCAACCACCCCUAGCCAAUACAGCCUACAUACCGCCGUCGCCAGCCCACCUCCAAUGAAAGAACAACAGUGAGCUCAACAGCCCCUCGCUAACAAGACAGGUCAAGGUAUAGCCCAUGGGGUGGAAGAAAUGGGCUACAUUCUCUACCAUAGAGCAUAACGAAAGAGGACGUGAAACCCGUCCUUGGAAGGAGGAUUUAGCAGUAAAGCAGGACCAUACCCAAUCCUAAAGCCUGCUUUAAGACGGCCCUGAGGCACGUACAUACCGCCCGUCACCCUCUUCAAAAGCCACAAACACUAAUAAAUAAUACCCACCUUAGGCUAAAGACGAGGCAAGUCGUAACAAGGUAAGCGUACCGGAAGGUGCGCUUAGAUCAC
rnacentral:ncRNA from 1 species